GCAGUCGUGGCCGAGUGGUUAAGGCGAUGGACUAGAAAUGCAUUGAAGUCUCCCCGCAGUCGCACAGGUUCGAAUCCUGUCGACUGCU
rnacentral:tRNA from 2 species